GACAGAGGGUGCAACCGUUGUUCGGAAUUACUGGGCGUAACGCGCGUGUAGGCGGCCCAGCAAGUCGGAUGUGAAAGCCCUGGGCUUAACCUAGGAAGUGCAUUCGAAACUGCUGGGCUUGAGUUCUGGAGAGGAAGGCGGAAUUCUCGGUGUAGAGGUGAAAUUCGUAGAUAUCGAGAGGAACACCGGUGGCGAAGGCGGCCUUCUGGACAGUGACUGACGCUGAGACGCGAAAGCGUGGGGAGCAAACAGG
rnacentral:rRNA from 1 species